GACGGAGGAUGCAAGCGUUAUCCGGAAUGAUUGGGCGUAAAGCGUCCGCAGGUGGCAGUUCAAGUCUGCUGUCAAAGACCGGGGCUUAACUUCGGAAAGGCAGUGGAAACUGAACAGCUAGAGUAUGGUAGGGGCAGAGGGAAUUCCUAGUGUAGAGGUGAAAUUCGUAGAUAUUAGGAAGAACACCGGUGGCGAAGGCGGCCAUCUGGCUCGGUACUGACGCUCAGGCGCGAAAGCGUGGGGAGCAAACAGG
rnacentral:rRNA from 1 species